UACUAGACCCCCUUUCUUACUUGGAUAACUGUGGCAAUUCUAGAGCUAAUACAUGCACGAAAGCUCCGACCCUUGAGGAAAGAGCGCAUUUAUUAGACCAAAACCAAUCGAGUACUUCGGUGCUUGUGUUUUGGUGACUCUGAAUAGCUUAGUUGAUCGCACAGUCUUAGUACUGGCGACGUAUCUUUCAAAUGUCUGCCUUAUCAACUUUCGAUGGUAGGUUAUACGCCUACCAUGGUUAUAACGGGUAACGGAGAAUUAGGGUUCGACUCCGGAGAGGGAGCCUGAGAAACGGCUACCACAUCCAAGGAAGGCAGCAGGCGCGCAAAUUACCCAAUCUCAGAACGAGGAGGUAGUGACAAAAAAUAACAAAACAGUCCACUCUGUGGUCUGUUAUCGGAAUGGGUACAAUUUAAAUCUUUUAACGAGGAUCUAUUAGAGGGCAAGUCUGGUGCCAGCAGCCGCGGUAAUUCCAGCUCUAAUAGCGUAUAUUAAAGUUGUUGCAGUUAAAAAGCUCGUAGUUGAACUUCUGCACAUAUCCGGUUCUGGCUUCGGUCAAGCCGUGACGUGUGCAUCCGCUUGCAAGCCUAGACUGGCCUUCACUGGUCAACUAGGGGAGUAGGCCUUUUACUUUGAAAAAAUUAGAGUGUUUCAAGCAGGCAAUGGCUCGAAUACAUUAGCAUGGAAUAAUGGAAUAGGACUUUUGUCCAUUUGGUUGGUUAUUGGACAUGAGUAAUGAUUA
rnacentral:rRNA from 1 species